UACGGAGGGUGCAAGCGUUAUCCGGAUUCACUGGGUUUAAAGGGAGCGUAGGUGGGGUGGUAAGUCAGUGGUGAAAUCUCCGGGCUUAACUCGGAACGGCCAAGUGAUACUGCAAUGCUAGAGUGCAGAAGGGGCAAUCGGAAUUCUUGGUGUAGCGGUGAAAUGCGUAGAUAUCAAGAGGAACACCUGAGGUGAAGACGGGUUGCUGGGCUGACACUGACGCUGAUGCGCGAAAGCCAGGGGAGCAAACGGG
rnacentral:rRNA from 1 species